GUCCCAGCCGCCGCGGUAAUACGGAGGGUGCGAGCGUUAAUCGGAAUUACUGGGCGUAAAGCGCGCGUAGGUGGCUUGAUAAGCCGGUUGUGAAAGCCCCGGGCUCAACCUGGGAACGGCAUCCGGAACUGUCAGGCUAGAGUGCAGGAGAGGAAGGUAGAAUUCCCGGUGUAGCGGUGAAAUGCGUAGAGAUCGGGAGGAAUACCAGUGGCGAAGGCGGCCUUCUGGACUGACACUGACACUGAGGUGCGAAAGCGUGGGUAGCAAACAGGAUUAGAUACCCUGGUAGUCCACGCCGUAAACGAUGUCGACUAGCCGUUGGGGUCCUUGAGACCUUUGUGGCGCAGUUAACGCGAUAAGUCGACCGCCUGGGGAGUACGGCCGCAAGGUUAAAACUCAAAUGAAUUGACGGGGGCCCGCACAAGCGGUGGAGCAUGUGGUUUAAUUCGAUGCAACGCGAAGAACCUUACCUACCCUUGACAUCGUGCGAACUUGGUAGAGAUACCUUGGUGCCUUCGGGAACGCACAGACAGGUGCUGCAUGGCUGUCGUCAGCUCGUGUUGUGAAAUGUUGGGUUAAGUCCCGUAACGAGCGCAACCCUUGUCCCUAUUUGCCAGCGAUUCGGUCGGGAACUCUAGGGAGACUGCCGGUGACAAACCGGAGGAAGGUGGGGACGACGUCAAGUCAUCAUGGCCCUUACGGGUAGGGCUACACACGUGCUACAAUGGUCGGUACAAAGGGUUGCAAUACCGCGAGGUGGAGCUAAUCCCAUAAAGCCGGUCUCAGUCCGGAUCGGAGUCUGCAACUCGACUCCGUGAAGUCGGAAUCGCUAGUAAUCGUGAAUCAGAAUGUCACGGUGAAUACGUUCCCGGGCCUUGUACACACCGCCCGUCACACCAUGGGAGUGGACUGCACCAGAAGUGGUUAGCCUAACUUCGGAGGGCGAUCACCACGGUGUGGUUCAUGACUGGGGUGAAGUCGUAACAAGGUAACC
rnacentral:rRNA from 1 species